ACCUCGACACCUACGGGAGGCAGCAGUGGGGGAUAUUGCACAAUGGGGGAAACCCUGAUGCAGCAACGCCGCGUGAAGGAAGAAGGUCUUCGGAUUGUAAACUUCUGUCCUCAGGGAAGAUAAUGACGGUACCUGAGGAGGAAGCUCCGGCUAACUACGUACCAGCAGCCGCGGUAAUCUGAGCGGGCUGGCAAGGC
rnacentral:rRNA from 1 species